rnacentral:rRNA from 1 species
AUUGAACGCUGGCGGCAGGCUUAACACAUGCAAGUCGAGCGGAGCGAGGGUGCUUGCACCUUAGCUUAGCGGCGGACGGGUGAGUAAUGCUUAGGAAUCUGCCUAUUAGUGGGGGACAACAUUCCGAAAGGAAUGCUAAUACCGCAUACGCCCUACGGGGGAAAGCAGGGGAUCUUCGGACCUUGCGCUAAUAGAUGAGCCUAAGUCGGAUUAGCUAGUUGGUGGGGUAAAGGCCUACCAAGGCGACGAUCUGUAGCGGGUCUGAGAGGAUGAUCCGCCACACGGGGACUGAGACACGGCCCAGACUCCUACGGGAGGCAGCAGUGGGGAAUAUUGGACAAUGGGGGGAACCCUGAUCCAGCCAUGCCGCGUGUGUGAAGAAGGCCUUAUGGUUGUAAAGCACUUUAAGCGAGGAGGAGGCUCUUUUGGUUAAUACCCAAGAUGAGUGGACGUUACUCGCAGAAUAAGCACCGGCUAACUCUGUGCCAGCAGCCGCAGUAAAAC